rnacentral:lncRNA from 1 species
UUUUUUUUUUUUUUUUGUCAACACAGGGGUAUCUGGGGGUAGCGGUCUGGGACGACUGGAUACCUGACACCGCCAUUAACCCCAACUAAUCCCACUGCGCCUGAGAGAGCGGGCCCCACCGAAUCAUCAGGAAUUUACCCCGGCUGCCCUUUCUUGGAAUCGAACCCAGGCCCUUCUCACUCAAUGGAGCUACAAGGACCGCCCGAGCAAACCGUGGGGGGCAAUCUCUCCUACUUUAAUGACUUUGAAGAUGUUAACAAAUAGCUGUUCUGCUGCAACAUUACACGCAAGCAAAAUUGCAAUUACUACUGACUGCCUAAUCCUUACUCUUGAUGUUGUUCACUUUUGAGCAAUUAUACCAAAAAUAGUAGUAUGUUCCAAGACUCGACCAUUAAUUAAUAACAUCCAUAUAGAAGAAAAAAUCUCAACGGUUUUUCCCUCAAUUGUCAGGCACAAGACAAGAGGUUCCAACUAUAAACUUGACAGCGAAUAAAACCCUCAUCGAUAUGCCUUGUUUGAACUCCAUUUAAGAGUUGUCGACUUGUCAUCUGAUAACACGCAUGCAGGCGGAAUGAUAAGUGGACAAUGAAUUGCCCAAACCUUUUAAUAUUACUGUAACAGUCUACUUUAUCAGGAAACUAUCUAUCAUAGAAUCACCAGUCUCCACAAAAAGGUAGGAAAUGAAGGGGAGCAAAAAUGUGAACCAAGUUGUAAAACAAAAAAUAGCAGUCGAUUCAUGUAAAGCUGCAUCUCUUGUAGACUUAGAAACAACUAGUACAACUUUAUCAGGAAAAACUACAAGAAAAAACAUGUUACUUAGCUUACAAAAUCAUGGAACUCAGGUUACUGAAUCUAAGAACACGGCAGCGGUGGGCAGUGGUCGUCAUAA